rnacentral:rRNA from 1 species
CCUACGGGUGGCAGCAGUGGGGGAUAUUGGACAAUGGGGGGAACCCUGAUCCAGCGACGCCGCGUGAGUGAAGAAGUAUUUCGGUAUGUAAAGCUCUGUCAGCAGGGAAGAAAGAAAUGACGGUCCCUGACCCCGAAGCCCCGGCUAAAUACGUGCCAGCAGCCGCGGUAAUACGUAGGGGGCAAGCGUUAUCCGGAAUUACUGGGUGUAAAGGGAGCGUAGACGGUUAAGUAAGUCUGGAGUGAAAGGCCGGGGCUCAACCCCGGGACUGCUCUGGAAACUAUUUAACUUGAGUGCAGGAGAGGUAAGCGGAAUGCCUAGUGUAGCGGUGAAAUGCGUAGAUAUUAGGAGGAACACCAGUGGCGAAGGCGGCUUACUGGACUGUAACUGACGUUGAGGCUCGAAAGCGUGGGGAGCAAACAGGAUUAGAUACCCGGGUAGUC